rnacentral:hammerhead_ribozyme from 1 species
AUCCAGACGAUGAGUCCCAAAUAAGACGAAACACGCAUCCUGGAU